rnacentral:rRNA from 1 species
AACAUCUCCUUAUGAAAUUAUAUAUAAGGUCAAAACUGCCCAAUGAAAUUUUAAUGGCCGCGGUAUUCUGACCGUGCUAAGGUAGCAUAAUCACUUGCCUCUUAAUUGAAGGAUAGAAUGAAUGGAUAAACGAAUACCAAACUUUACCGUUUAUAUGCACAUAAAUUUAUAUAAAGGUGAAGAAGCCUUUAUAAAAAUAAAAGACAAAAAGACCCUAUAGAGCUUAUGAUAAACCAUUAUAUAAUAUAAAUGUAAAUCUUUAGUUGGGGCGACUAAAGAAUAAAUUUAACUUCUUUUUAUUAUUAGAGACAAAAAGUCUAUAUUGACCCUCCACAGAUCAUAAAAAAAAGCUACCUUAGGGAUAACAGUCUAAUAUGCUUUAAGAGUCCAAAUUGACAAGCAUGUUUGGCACCUCGAUGUUGGCUUAGGAUGUCCUCUUGGUGCAACCGCCAAAAAGGUAAGUUUGUUCAACUUUUAAUAUCCUA